rnacentral:lncRNA from 1 species
AAGGAGAUGUGGUAAAUACGUCAAAGAUGAAUAAAAGGAGAUGUGGUAAAUACGUCAAUGAUAAAUAAAAGGAGAUGUGGUAAAUACGUCAGUGAUGAAUAGAAGGAGAUGUGGUAAAUACGUCAAUGAUGAAUAAAAGGAGAUGUGGUAAAUACUUCAAUGAUGAAUAAAAGCAGAUGUGGUAAACACGUCAAAGAUGAAUAAAAGGAGAUGUGGUAAAUGCGUUAAUGAUGAGUAAAAGGGGAUGUGGUAAACACGUCAAAGAUGACAUAAAGGAGAUGUGGUAAAUACGUAAAUGAUGAAUAGAAGGAGAUAUGGUAAAUGCGUCAAUGAAUAAAAGGAGAUGUAGUAAAUACGUCAAUGAAUAAAGGGAGAUGUGGUAAAUAAUUCAAUGAUGAAUAAAAGGAGAUCUGGUAAAUACGUCAAUGAUAAAUAAAAGGAGAUGUGGUAUAUACGUCAAUGAUGAAUAGAAGGAGAUGUGCUAAAUAAGUCAAUGAUAAAUAAAAUGAGAUGUGGUAAAUAUGUCAAUGAUGAAUAAAAGUAGAUGUGGUAAAUACGUCCAUGAAAGGACAAUCAAAUGGUUAGACACCUUGCCCAUUAUUCUGUCAUAUUUUUUUUGAAACUAUCGACUUUUCUAACUUGCAUUGUUUUGUUAGUUUACUGUUGUUUUUUGCAAUAUUUUCUUUUUUCUUUUUAUGCUCCAAUAUUCAACUAAUUUCUAUAUUACUAAUGAUUAUUGCUCCUCCCUCUAAAGAUACGCAACCAUCCACAAUCGCCACAGCGUGCAAUGAAUAAAUAGUAUGUGUCCUAUGCAUUGAAAAAGAGUAGCAAUAGCUGACGAAAGCAGUAGGAACGUCAACGUUGGAAAUCGGAAACUAUCGAUGACGUCGUAAUAUUGUUACGUUUGUAACGUCUUGGCAAUUUUGAAUUUUGGUCUUGGCAUUGAAAGGGUUAAU